GCCAGGCGCGGGGGUGUGUGCCUGCAGUUCCAGUUACUUAGGAGGCUGAGGUGAGAGGAUCGCUUGAGCCCAGGAGUUCUGGGCUGUAGUGCGCUAUGCCGAUCAGGUGUCCGCACAAUUUCGGCAUCAACAUGGUGACCUCCCGGAAGCAGGGGACCACCAGGUUGCCUUAGGAGGGGUGAACUGGCCCAGGUUGGAAACCGAGCAGGUCAAAACUCCUGUGCUGUUCAGUAGUGGGAUCGCCCCUGUGAAUAGCCACUGCACUCCAGCCUGGGCAACACAGCGAGACCUCGUCUCU
rnacentral:SRP_RNA from 1 species